rnacentral:misc_RNA from 1 species
UACCUCAGGAAUUAAACAGACAUCUAUCUGUCCACUAGAAAGUGAUGCAUGCAUGGCUAUGAACCCACUGCUUCUUCCCAUCAAUUUCACCAGUCCAAUACCAUGGUAUGCGCUAUGGGCUUCAAUAUAUGCAGAAUUAAUUGCCCGUUGGGCUUCCUCUACAGCAGUAUCGAAACCAAAUGUCUUGUCCAUCAGAAGGAUAUCAUUAUCAAUCGUCUUCGGCACACAGACAACUGAAACUUUCAA